rnacentral:tRNA from 4 species
AUGCAUGGGGAAUGGCCGGGAUAGCUCAGCUGGUAGAGCAGAGGACUGAAAAUCCUCGUGUCACCAGU